UUCAUCUGAUUCAUUAAGAAUUCUAUCACUUCAUUAUACAUUUUACAAAGGGACUAAGUUUUAGCUGCAACUUACUUCCUGUAUUAUAUGCAGUAUCUAUUAGUGAUAAAUCAAAUUUAGCUGGACUUGCUGAGUAAUCUUCAAAAUGUUUCAGCGGCCAAUGAGAUACUUCUUUUUUUUUAUACUAGUCAUUAGGGAAUUAGUUUCAAACAAUUAACACCUGCCUCAAUGAGUUUGAGGGUACCAUUGUGUCUGAAUCUCACUUUCACUUCUCAAGAUCUGCCUAGAAGUGUUAAAUAGAACCAGUGUGGGUGAAUUUUAAAUCAAGGGGAAUUUCAGUGGAACACCAGUAGCUGCUUGGCUGAACUUUUUCAAGAUUACUCAGUAUACACACCUCAUUCCUGUGACAGUUGACCUGACAUGAACAGUAUCCAUGGGCAAAAGAGGGAAUAUUAAUGCAAAUACAAAGUAAAACCUACAAGCAACAUCAGGUUUAAACUCAUCUCCUACUUCAUCAUGAUCACUGUCAUCUGCCAAAAGCUUGCGCUGCUCGAAGAUGGCUUUGGACGCAG